ACAGGAUCCGAGGGUUUACCUCGGAGAGGAUCUAGUUCCUAACAAUCAUAAGCAACGACCCAACUGGUUCGAGCGCUUUUUUCUCACCCCCUGCAAAGUGAAGAAAAAGUGGUGUGAGCUACCGUCAACUCCUCGUCUUUCUCCCCCUGAAUCCACUUUUACCAUGACUGAGUUGCAGUUUGGCUCCGAGUUGGAGUUACCGGAAUCGUCCAGGGGAAGCACAAAGAAAAAGCAUAAAAAAAAUCAGGAGGUGCUUUUGUGCUGGAGUUUUCCCAGCCAUGGCUGGUACAAGCUCAACGUCGACGGAAGUUACCGCUCGGGUUGUAUAGCAGGCGGCGGCGUGAUCAGAAAUCAAGACGGAGAAUGGCUGACUGGGUUUGCUGAAAAUCUGGGAACGGGCAAGAAACCCAUUGAGGCUGAGGUCUGGGCAUUGUACAGAGGCCUGGAGCUUGCCUGGAAUUAUGGGUGGUACCCAAUUGAGGUGGAAACCGACUCAGCCAUGGCGGUGACGCUUGUGUUCAGCCCGGUUCAGUUGUACCCGAAACACCCUCAGUUUAAUUUGAUUCAUAAGUCCCUGAAUCAGAUUAGGAAUAGCGAAAAUCUGAUUAGGAAUUGCCUGAAUCUACUUAACCAAAUCCAAAACUACUCCCUGCAGCAUGUGUACCGGCAAAAAAACAGCGUGGCUGAUUUUUUGGCCAAUUUUGGGCUGACAUUGGGGUUGGGUUGCCAUUAUUUCGAUGCUCCGCCGCCUGGCUGCGAGGCGGUUCUGGUCCAGGAUAUCUGUAGGGUGGCUAAGCCCAGGUCUCUUCUUCCCACAGUUAUAGAAUUCAGAGGAGUAAAGAAAUUGGAGGAACUGGAUAUUCACAAGGAUGAUGCUGCAUCUUUGACAUUCACAUGGAAAAUUGACAACUUCUCUCAGUUAAAUGCCGUCAAGCAUUACUCUGGUGUCUUCGUCGUCGGUUGUUUUGAAUGGCAAAUCCUUUUGUAUCCAAGGGGAAACAAUGUAGACUUCCUAUCGGUGUAUUUGGUUGUUGCAGAGUCUUCAAAAUUGCCAUCAGGGUGGUCUAGAUAUGCUGCUUUUCACUUCAAAAACAUUGGACACAGAGCAUGUGUUUGAUAAAAGGGGAAUUGACUGGGGCUUCACGUCGGUAAUUCCUCUAAGUGAGUUUUGUGACAGUAGUAAAGGGUAUCUUGUGAAUGAUAUUUGUAUCAUUAGGGCCAAAGUUGCUGUCCCUAAGGCUGAAAUUAAGAUCUUAGAACACAAUGCAAGUAGUUCUGCACCUACUAAGCACUUAGACAAAAAACGUGGAGUGCUGGAUUACGUGCUGGCCAUCAACGACCUUAUUUAUGUUCCUUCUCGCCCUCCCAUAGUCAAGGAACCUGAGUACAUGUCUUCCCCACCAGCUGCAGAGCUCGAGGAUUUUAGGGGUUUAGGGAAAAUAGAGAAAGCUUUCGUUCCUCUGCUAGAUGAGGUUUGUUCGUGGCAUCCUUCGCUGAUUGAAUGCCAACGCAAGAGAAGUCGCAUGUUUACUGAGUGGGCAUUCACAGCUUUGGGCCGGCUAUUACAAUUUAUGAAGACGAAAAAGGUGAAGAACAUGACAGACGAUGCAUGUGAGCAACUGAAACUUUUGUGGGAGGAGCUUGAGGCCUUCAAAUUUGACUUGGCUUGGCUGGCGCCUAGUGUUGAAAGGGCUUUGGACAUGAACAAGAUUGUGGAAAGUGCAGGGAGGUUGAAAAGGUUGAGAAAGGACGUGGACGCUUUACAGACGCAAACGAAGAGGUUGAGGACUGAGCUAGCUGUUGAGGAGGCAAAUCUUGAGGCAGCAGUAAGAGAUUUAAACAAGACUGAAGAAGGUUUGGACGACGUAGACAUCAACGGUGAGCUAGGUUACUGUAGGGGUUAGCCUUAUUUGAGGAUUCUCUUUUGACGUGCUCCUCAAGUUUGUUUAUGUAGGAUUUUCAAGUUGUAUGAAUAAACAAAUCAACUUGGAUGUCCCGACGUGCUAUCACAAUGUCUAGAUUGGCCGACUGAGCAAGGAACCUUCCCUCGGCCCGGGUUCCGGGUUCUUUCUCUACCUUGGAGCAAGGCUUUUAAUAAACAACCAACUGACAUGAA